rfam:Sus scrofa isolate TJ Tabasco breed Duroc chromosome 4, whole genome shotgun sequence.
UCCCUGGUAGCCUAGUGGUUAAGGAUCCUGUGUUGUCACUGCUGUGGCUCAGGUUCAACCCCUGGCCUGGGAA